rnacentral:rRNA from 1 species
UACGAAGGGGGCUAGCGUUGUUCGGAAUUACUGGGCGUAAAGCGCACGUAGGCGGAUUGUUAAGUCGGGGGUGAAAUCCUGAGGCUCAACCUCAGAACUGCCUUCGAUACUGGCAAUCUCGAGUCCGGAAGAGGUUGGUGGAACAGCUAGUGUAGAGGUGAAAUUCGUAGAUAUUAGCUAGAACACCAGUGGCGAAGGCGGCCAACUGGUCCGGUACUGACGCUGAGUGAGCGAAAGCGUGGGGAGCAAACGAGG